GUUCGCCUCGUUAAACGAAGUUUUGAAUGGAAAAAAACAGAGGGAAAACGUGAAGACAGGAAACGGAAGUGAUGCGCCAACAGUUUUCACCCAUUUCAAAACCAUUGAUGUGAGCCACAUCCUGUGGUCCGACCUGGAGCCAUGAAGGUUUUCCCGGGCUGGAAGUCGCCGUUGCCCUGCU